GUCCAGCGAGAGGCGGGCCGAACCGCCGGUCGGAGGAGUUUGGUUCCCUGGCGCGAGGAGCCUUAAUGACGGAGUCAGGUUCCACCCGGGCUCCCCUGGGCAGCUUUCCUGUCCGUCUUCAAAGCUGUCUUUGCUCCUGGCUGUGUCGCCUACUCUUAGGACCACCGCCCCCCGCCCGUGUCAGAAGGCACAGCUCCUUGGCCUAAGAUUUGCAAAAGGAUGCCCAAGGUAGGAGCAGACAUCCCUGCCCAGUACUAGCGGGUUAUGAGCGGCACCUACUUCUUGCUUUCCAUAAUUUGGAAAGCUCUGCGUGACUCAAAUGGGCAUGUACAAAGAUGGAAUGUGCAAGUAUAGCCCCUCCCUUGAUGGCUGCCACGGAAACCUAGACCCUGGUCUGUGACGUGGCAGUGCUCUGCUGAGUUACAUGCAGCUGAGGUCAGUGUGACUCCAAUUUAAAUCCUUUCCCCUGAAUUAUGGCUUUCCGCUGACCUGAUGGGUUCCUUGCUAAUUGUUCCUGAUCCCAGUACUUGUUUGUUCUAUCCAAGCAGGAUAAGCAGUGCUUACGCCCUUAUAGUCCCGCCUGGUGACAUCAUGCCAAGUGUUCAGCGGUUUUUCACUGGAUGUCUUCAAAGCAUAUCCAACUCCUUAUUCCUUCCCCCAAUUGUAUUCAAUAAAUACUGGACGUACUUGGGGGCCUUUGCUGCCAUCAGCAGCACUGAUCAUGCCUCAAGACUCAGCUUCCCCAUUCUAAGUCUUGUUUCCUGUCUACUUUUUUAUGUAUUCUUUCAAAGAACC